GAUGAACGCUGGCGGCGUGCCUAAUACAUGCAAGUCGAGCGAACAGACGAGGAGCUUGCUCCUCUGACGUUAGCGGCGGACGGGUGAGUAACACGUGGAUAACCUACCUAUAAGACUGGGAUAACUUCGGGAAACCGGAGCUAAUACCGGAUAAUAUAUUGAACCGCAUGGUUCAAUAGUGAAAGACGGUUUUGCUGUCACUUAUAGAUGGAUCCGCGCCGCAUUAGCUAGUUGGUAAGGUAACGGCUUACCAAGGCGACGAUGCGUAGCCGACCUGAGAGGAUGAUCGGCCACACUGGAGCUGAGACACGGACCAGACUCCUACGGGAGGCAGCAGUAGGAAUUCUUCCGCAGUGGGCGAAAGCCUGACGGAGCAACGGCGCGUGAGUGAGAAAGGUCUUCGGAUCGUAAAUCUCUGUUUUAGGGAAGAACAAAUGUGUAAGUAACUAUGCACGUCUUGACGGUACCUAAUCAAAAAGCCACGGCUAACUACGUG
rnacentral:rRNA from 1 species